UCCAGACUCCUACGGGAGGCAGCAGUGGGGGAUAUUGGACAAUGGGGGGAACCCUGAUCCAGCGACGCCGCGUGAGUGAAGAAGUAUCUCGGUAUGUAAAGCUCUCUCAGCAGGGAAGAAAGAAAUGACGGUACCUGAGUAAGAAGCCCCGGCUAACUACGUGCCAGCAGCCGCGGUAAUACGGAGGAUGCGAGCGUUAUCCGGAUUUAUUGGGUUUAAAGGGUGCGCAGGCGGCGAGUUAAGUCAGCGGUAAAUUUUGGGGGCUCACCCCCGACAAGCCGUUGAAACUGGCUUGCUAGAGUGGGCGAGAAGUAUGCGGAAUGCGUGGUGUAGCGGUGAAAUGCAUAGAUAUCACGCAGAACUCCGAUUGCGAAGGCAGCAUACCGGCGCCCAACUGACGCUCAGGCACGAAAGCGUGGGUAUCGAACAGGAUUAGAUACCCUUGUAAA
rnacentral:rRNA from 1 species